rnacentral:rRNA from 1 species
UGAGGAAUAUUGGGCAAUGCCCGCAAGGGUGACCCAGCAACGCCGCGUGGAGGAUGAAUGUCGUAAGAUUGUAAACUCCUGUUAGAGGGGAAGAAUAGUACCGGUUGGACCGGUAUAUGACUGUACCCUCAGAGAAAGCCCCGGCUAACUACGUGCCAGCAGCCGCGGUAAUACGUAGGGGGCAAGCGUUGUCCGGAUUUACUGGGUGUAAAGGGCGCGCAGGCGGGAUAAAAAGUCAGUGGUGAAAUCCUACAGCUUAACUGUAGAACUGCCUGUGAUACUUUUAGUCUUGAGUUCGGGAGAGAGAGACGGAAUUCCAGGUGUAGUGGUGAAAUACGUAGAUAUCUGGAAGAACACCAGUUGCGAAGGCGGUCUCUUGGUCCGACACUGACGCUGAGGCGCGAAAGCGUGGGGAGCAAACA